rnacentral:rRNA from 1 species
AUUGAACGCUGGCGGCAUGCCUUACACAUGCAAGUCGAACGGUAACAGGUCUUCGGAUGCUGACGAGUGGCGAACGGGUGAGUAAUACAUCGGAACGUGCCCGAGAGUGGGGGAUAACGAGGCGAAAGCUUUGCCAAUACCGCAUACGAUCUCAGGAUGAAAGCAGGGGACCGCAAGGCCUUGCGCUCACGGAGCGGCCGAUGGCAGAUUAGGUAGUUGGUGGGAUAAAAGCUUACCAAGCCGACGAUCUGUAGCUGGUCUGAGAGGACGACCAGCCACACUGGGACUGAGACACGGCCCAGACUCCUACGGGAGGCAGCAGUGGGGAAUUUUGGACAAUGGGCGCAAGCCUGAUCCAGCCAUGCCGCGUGCAGGAUGAAGGCCUUCGGGUUGUAAACUGCUUUUGUACGGAACGAAAAGACUCCUUCUAAUAAAGGGGGUCCAUGACGGUACCGUAAGAAUAAGCGCCGGCUAACUACGUGCCAGCCGCCGCCGUAAGAC